CUGACAUUUAUUAAAAUAUUUUGACCUUUAUUAAAACGUCCUGACCUUUAUUAUAACAUCCUGACCUUGAUUAUAACAUCCUGACCUUUAUUAUAACAUUCUGACCUUUAUUAAAACAUCCUGACCUUUAUUAUAACAUUCUGACCUUUAUUGAAACAUCCUGAUCUUUAUUAUAACAUCCUGACCUUUAUUAUAACAUCCUGACCUUUAUUAAAAUAGUCUGACCUUAAUUAAAAUAUGCUAACCUUUAUUACAACAUCCUGACCUUUAUUAUAAUACAUUAAUACAUUAUAAUACAUUACAAUUUUUCACUUUUUUCCUCCGCUGCUUCAUAUCUUUUUAGAAUGUCCACAAACUUGUUUUCUUUAAAUUUUCUAUUUUUAUAAUGGAUAUAUUCUUUUUAUUGACUUUAUUAUACACAAAACCAUAGCUGUUUAAAAGACUUUAUUUAAUUCAUACUUUCCCUCUUGAUUUAUUAUAUAAAAUCAAGCCAUUUAACAUAUUUUCCGGAAUGUAAGGCGCGCUUUUCCACACAAAAAGUCUUGGAAAAUCCCCUUGCGUCUUAUAUGCUGGAAGUGAUGGUCAAGGUUAGACUCUCUGCGUCUUAUAUGCUGGAGGUGAUGGUCAAGGUUAGACUCUCUGCGUCUUAUAUGCUGGAGGUGAUGGUCAAGGUUAGACUCUCUGCGUCUUAUAUGCUGGAGGUGAUGGUCAAGGUUAGACUCUCUGCGUCUUAUAUGCUGGAAGUGAUGGUCAAGGUUAAACUCUCUGCGUCUUAUAUGCUGGAGGUGAUGGUCAAGGCUAAACUCUCUGCGUCUUAUAUGCUGGAGGUGAUGGCCAAUGUUAAACUUCUCUGCGUCUUAUAUGCUGGAGGUGAUGGUCAAUGCUAAACUCUCUGCGUCUUAUAUGCAGGAGGUGAUGGUCAAGGUUAAACUCCCUGUGUCUUAUAUGCCGGAGGUGAUGGUCAAUGUUAAACUUUCUGCGUCGUAUAUGCUGGAGGUGAUGGUCAAUGUUAAACUCUCUGCGUCUUAUAUGCUGGAGGGGAUGGUCAAUGUUAAACUCUCUGCGUCUUAUAUGCUGGAGUUGAUGGUCAAUGUUAUACCCUGUGU